rnacentral:tRNA from 2 species
GAGGGAGUAGCUCAGUGGUAGAGUGUGUGCUUAGCAUGCAUGAGGCCCUGGGUUUGAUCCCCAGCACCAACA